AUUGAACGCUGGCGGCAGGCUUAACACAUGCAAGUCGAGCGGGGUGAUGGUGCUUGCACUAUCACUUAGCGGCGGACGGGUGAGUAAUGCUUAGGAAUCUGCCUAUUAGUGGGGGACAACAUCUCGAAAGGGAUGCUAAUACCGCAUACGUCCUACGGGAGAAAGCAGGGGAUCACUUGUGACCUUGCGCUAAUAGAUGAGUCUAAGUCGGAUUAGCUAGUUGGUGGGGUAAAGGCCUACCAAGGCGACGAUCUGUAGCGGGUCUGAGAGGAUGAUCCGCCACACUGGGACUGGGACACGGCCCAGACUCCUACGGGAGGCAGCAGUGGGGAAUAUUGGACAAUGGGGGGAACCCUGAUCCAGCCAUGCCGCGUGUGUGAAGAAGGCCUUAUGGUUGUAAAGCACUUUAAGCGAGGAGGAGGCUCUUUUGGUUAAUACCCAAGAUGAGUGGACGUUACUCACAGAAUAAGCACCGGCUAACUCUGUGCCAGCAGCCGCCGCCG
rnacentral:rRNA from 1 species